UACGAAGGGGGCUAGCGUUGCUCGGAAUUACUGGGCGUAAAGGGCGCGUAGGCGGAUAUCUAAGUUGGGGGUGAAAUCCCGGGGCUCAACCUCGGAAUUGCCUUCAAAACUGGAUAUCUUGAGUUCGGGAGAGGUGAGUGGAACUCCGAGUGUAGAGGUGAAAUUCGUAGAUAUUCGGAAGAACACCAGUGGCGAAGGCGACUUACUGGACAACUGUUGACGCUGAGGUGCGAAAGCGUGGGGAGCAAACAGG
rnacentral:rRNA from 1 species